rnacentral:misc_RNA from 1 species
AGCAGUGAAAAUAAAAGAAAAUAAGAAUUCUAAUAAGCUUAAAAUAGUUAAAAUCCAAUUUAAAAUAAACAAUUCCCCUGCAACGGGGCCACAAACUUGAUGUGUUAUAAAAUAGCUUACGUAAGUGCGCGGGUCACUAGAGUAUAGAUUUAAAAAGAUCGUUCCCAUAGGUAAUUGUGCUUAAAUUGAAAUUAAAAAAAAUAAGCCAAUUAGAAUGCCAAAAUUCAAAGAUAUUGGAAUGAAAUUGAAAAUAAAAUUGAUAUUUGAGAAAUUUAAGUUAAAUCAAACAAUUAAUUAAACUAGAUGACUAAAACUUGGGCUGAAAUUACUAAUUACAAAUUUGGGAUGAUUUAAAUCUAACUUCAAUAAAAAUUAAAGUGAUUCU